UGCGAGAAAGCACGACUCUCGGCAACGGAUAUCUCGGCCCUCACCACGAUGAAAAACGUAGCGAAAUGCGAUACAUAGUGUGAAUUGCAGAAUCCCGUGAAUCAUCAAGUCUUUGAACGCAAGUUGCGCCCGAGGCCUUGGCCAAGGGCACGUCUGCCUGGGUGUCGCAU
rnacentral:rRNA from 1 species